ACAGGGAUUGCCUCAGUAACGGCGAGUGAAGCGGCAAUAGCUCAAAUUUGAAAGCUGGCUUACGCCCGCGUUGUAAUUUGCAGAGGAUGCUUCGGAUGCGGUGCCGGUCUAAGUUCUUUGGAACAGGACGUCAUAGAGGGUGAGAAUCCCGUAUGUGACUGGUGGCCUGCGUCUAUGUGAAGCUCCUUCGACGAGUCGAGUUGUUUGGGAAUGCAGCUCUAAAUGGGUGGUGUACUUCAUCUAAAGCUAAAUAUUGGCUGGAGACCGAUAGCGCACAAGUAGAGUGAUCGAAAGAUGAAAAGCACUUUGGAAAGAGAGUUAAAUAGUACGUGAAAUUGUUGAAAGGGAAGCGCUUGCAAUCAGACUUGCGCUGCGUCGAUCAACCUGGGUUCUCCCUGGUGCACUCGGCGCAGCUCAGGCCAGCAUCAGUUUCGGCGGUUGGAUAAAGGCUUGGAGAACGUGAGUUGCUUCGGCGACUGUUAUAGCUCCAGGUGCAAUGCAGCCAGCUGGGACUGAGGACCGCGCUUUUCGCGAAGCUAGGAUGCUGGCGUAAUGGUUGUAAGCGACCCGUCUG
rnacentral:rRNA from 1 species